rnacentral:rRNA from 1 species
UACGGAGGAUGCAAGCGUUAUCCGGAAUCAUUGGGCGUAAAGCGUCCGCAGGUGGCUGUGUAAGUCUGCUGUCAAAGAGCGAAGCUCAACUUCGUAAAGGCAGUGGAAACUACACGGCUAGAGUGCGUUCGGGGCAGAGGGAAUUCCUGGUGUAGCGGCGAAAUGCGUAGAGAUCAGGAAGAACACCGGUGGCGAAGGCGCUCUGCUAGGCCGCAACUGACACUGAGGGACGAAAGCUAGGGGAGCGAAUGGG